rnacentral:rRNA from 1 species
GACGAACGCUGGCGGCGUGUCUAAUACAUGCAAGUAGAACGCAGUUGCGAAUGGGUGAGUAACGCGUAGGUAACCAGCCUCAUAGCGGGGGAUAACUAUUGGAAACGAUAGAUAAUACGGCAUAACGUGAGAGGGACCUGCGUUGUAUUAGCUAGUUGGUGAGGUAAAGGCUCACCAAGGCGACGCUACCUAGCCGACCUGAGAGGGUGAUCGGCCACACUGGGACUGAUACACGGCCCAGACUCCUACGGGAGUCAGCAGUAGGGACUCUUCGGCCAUGGACGGAAGUCUGACCGAGCAACGCCGCGUUAGUGAAGAAGGUUUUCGUAUCGUAAAGCUCUGUUGUUAGGGAAGCGGGAACUAACCAGAAAGGGACGGCGAACUACGUGCCAGCAGCCGCGGUAAUAC